AUCUAGGUAGCUUAUUUAAGAGCAUGACAUUGAAGAUGUUAGGGUAGUAAAUUAUUGAUACUCCAUGAUA
rnacentral:tRNA from 1 species